rnacentral:rRNA from 1 species
UACAGAGGUCUCAACCGUUGUUCGGAUUCAUUGGGCGUAAAGGGCGCGUAGGCGGCCUGCUAAGUCGAACGUGAAAUCCCUGGGCUCAACCCAGGAACUGCGUCCGAUACUGGUUGGCUUGAAUCCGGGAGAGGGAUGUGGAAUUCCAGGUGUAGCGGUGAAAUGCGUAGAUAUCAGGAGGAACACCAAUGGCGAAGGCAGCUCGCUGGAACGGUACUGACGCUGAGGCGCGAAAGCGUGGGGAGCAAACAGG